CCUACGGGGGGCUGCAGUCAAGAAUCUUCCUCAAUGCGCGAAAGCGUGAAGGAGCGACGCCGCGUGCCGGAUGAAGGCCUUCGGGUCGUAAACGGCUUUUACGAGGGACGAACAAAUGACGGUACCUCGAGAAUAAGUGGUUGCUAACUCUGUGCCAGCAGCAGCGGUAAUACAGAGACCACAAGCGUUAUCCGGAUUUAUUGGGCGUAAAGGGUCCGCAGGCGGCCUGGUAAGUCAUUCGUCAAAUCUUCGGGCUCAACCCGGAGGCUGCGGGUGAUACUGUCAGGCUAGAGACUGGGAGAGGCAUACGGAAUUGCUGGUGUAGCGGUAAAAUGCGUUAAUAUCAGCAAGAACACCAAAGGCGAAGGCAGUAUGCUGGAACAGUUCUGACGCUCAGGGACGAAAGCGUGGGUAGCGAAUGGGAUUAGAUACCCUAGUAG
rnacentral:rRNA from 1 species